rnacentral:rRNA from 1 species
AUUGAACGCUGGCGGCAGGCCUAACACAUGCAAGUCGAACGAGUGGCGGACGGGUGAGUAAUGUCUGGGAAACUGCCUGAUGGAGGGGGAUAACUACUGGAACCGGUAGCUAAUACCGCAUACCAUCGGAUGUGCCCAGAUGGGGUUAGCUAGUAGGUGGGGUAACUGCUACACUAGGCGACGAUCCCUAGCUGGUCUGAGAGGAUGACCGGCCACACUGGAACUGAGACACGGUCCGGACUCCUACGGGAGGCAGCAGAGGGGAAUAUUGCACAAUGGGGGCAAGCCUGAUGCAGCCAUGCCGCGUGUAGGAAGAAGGCCUUCGGGUUGUAAAGUACUUUCAGCGGGGAGGCGUUACCCGCAGAAGAAGCACCGGCUAACUCCGUGCCAGCAGCCGCGGUAAUAC